rnacentral:rRNA from 1 species
GCGGCCCCUGGACAAGACUGACGCUCAGUGCGAAGCGUGGGGAGCAAACAGGAUUAGAUACCUGGUAGUCACGCUGUAAACGAUGUCGAUUUGGAGGUUGUUCCCGUGAGGAGUGGCUUCCGGAGCUAACGCGUUAAAUCGACCGCUGGGGAGUACGGCCGCAAGGUUAAAACUCAAAUGAAUUGACGGGGGCCCGCACAAGCGGUGGAGCAUGUGGUUUAAUUCGAUGCAACGCGAAGAACCUUACCUACUCUUGACAUCCAGAGAAUUUAGCAGAGAUGCUUUAGUGCCUUCGGGAACUCUGAGACAGGUGCUGCAUGGCUGUCGUCAGCUCGUGUUGUGAAAUGUUGGGUUAAGUCCCGCAACGAGCGCAACCCUUAUCCUUUGUUGCCAGCACAUUAUGGUGGGAACUCAAAGGAGACUGCCGGUGAUAAACCGGAGGAAGGUGGGGAUGACGUCAAGUCAUCAUGGCCCUUACGAGUAGGGCUACACACGUGCUACAAUGGCGUAUACAAAGAGAAGCGACCUCGCGAGAGCAAGCGGAACUCAUAAAGUACGUCGUAGUCCGGAUUGGAGUCUGCAACUCGACUCCAUGAAGUCGGAAUCGCUAGUAAUCGUAGAUCAGAAUGCUACGGUGGAUACGUUCCCGGGCCUUGUACACACCGCCCGUCACACCAUGGGAGUGGGUUGCAAAAGAAGUAGGUAGCUUAACCUUCGGGAGGGCGCUUACCACUUUGUGAUUCAUGACUGGGGUGAAGUCGUAACAAGGUAACCA